GACGAACGCUGGCGGCGUGCUUAACACAUGCAAGUCGAGCGGAAAGGCCCUUCGGGGUACUCGAGCGGCGAACGGGUGAGUAACACGUGAGCAACCUGCCCUAGGCUUUGGGAUAACCCCGGGAAACCGGGGCUAAUACCGGAUAUGACCGCUGGCCGCAUGGCUGGUGGUGGAAAGUUUUUCGGCCUGGGAUGGGCUCGCGGCCUAUCAGCUUGUUGGUGGGGUGAUGGCCUACCAAGGCGACGACGGGUAGCCGGCCUGAGAGGGCGACCGGCCACACUGGGACUGAGACACGGCCCAGACUCCUACGGGAGGCAGCAGUGGGGAAUAUUGCACAAUGGGCGAAAGCCUGAUGCAGCGACGCCGCGUGAGGGAUGACGGCCUUCGGGUUGUAAACCUCUUUCAGCAGGGACGAAGCGGAAGUGACGGUACCUGCAGAAGAAGCGCCGGCCAACUACGUGCCAGCCGCCGCGGUAAAAC
rnacentral:rRNA from 1 species